AGUGUUCAGAGAACGUUUCACGCGAAGAGAUAUCCUGCGAGAAAUCGGGGCACAAAGUGGUAACGGAUGGAAGGGUUUUUACGAGUGCAAUAAAUCGGAUCUCGAUAGAACGUGCACACACUGAUGCCAGAUUGGACAUGGAACAAUCGAGAACUGUCACGAUUAUCUUGCUGGAUAUAACAGCUCCGCCAUGUGACCCGAUAACUUCCGCAUCUCGCGAUUCGUAUCGCGAGAAUCUCGACUAGCUGAUGCGAGAUUAGAGAUAACCAGCGUUUACGGCAGAGAGGAUUUCAAGUUCGACUAGGCUCUAGACCAGAGCAAAGCGAGUAGCUCUCGUACCAGCCUCUGUUCACCUUCUCAUCCUCCCUUAAAGCUCUUCUUCCAUCGAGCCGCCUCCGACUCGCGGCUUGCAACCAGAAGCAAUUAUGCGACAGCUACCACUCUCGUUUCAACCGCAUGCUUUGUGUCACGCGAUUCUUGUAAUAAGUAGGGGAUGAGAGAAGCUCUCUAGCGAUACUGUGAAUAACAAGGAAACCUUCCGAACCUGAACACAUCCAUUU
rnacentral:misc_RNA from 1 species